AUGGCUGCACCCUACUCUCCAUCUCCAUCUCCAUCACAUCCCACUGCUGCUGCCCUUGUCCUGCUACUGCUGCUGCUUCAUGUCGCGCUUCUUGGCAAGUGUGCGGCGGCGGCUAACGUGACGUUCGGGCCGGGGGAGGAACUCCGGAGGUACAGGCGGGUCCAGGCGCUCCUCACAAGGCUCAACAAGCCGUCUCUCCGGACCAUUCAGAGCCCCGACGGCGACCUCAUCGACUGCGUGCCGGCGCACCUGCAGCCGGCGUUCGACCACCCCAGGCUGCGCGGCCAGAGACCACUGGGCCCGCCGGUGCGACCGAGUGGACACCACCGCCGCCCCAAUCACACGGCGGACGCCGGAGUGCAGCUUUGGGCGAUGUCCGGCGCGUCGUGCCCGGAGGGGUCCGUCCCGGUGAGGAGGAUUACGGAGGCCGACGUCCUCCGCGCCAGCUCCGUGAGGAGGUUCGGAAGGGUGCCCACGGCCAGAGUACGGCGUGACACGGUCGCCGGCGGCCACGAGCACGCGGUGGGGUACGUUGCCGGCGACGAGUACUACGGCGCGCGUGCGAGCAUCAACGUGUGGGCGCCCAAGGUGAGCACGCCGACGGAGUUCAGCCUGUCGCAGAUCUGGGUUAUCGGCGGCACCUUCAGCAACGAUCUCAACACCAUCGAGGCCGGAUGGCAGGUGAGCCCGCAGCUGUAUGGGGACAACUCGCCCAGGUUUUUCACUUACUGGACGACGGACGCGUACCAGACGACGGGGUGCUACAACCUGCUGUGCUCAGGGUUCGUGCAGACCAACAGCCGGAUCGCCAUGGGGGCGGCCAUCUCGCCCACCUCCGGCUACAAAGGCGGCCAGUUCGACAUCAGCCUCCUGAUCUGGAAAGACCCCAACCACGGCAACUGGUGGCUGGAGUUCGGGUCGGGGGAGCUGGUGGGUUACUGGCCUAGCUUUCUGUUCAGCCACCUGGCGUCGCACGCGAGCAUGGUGCAGUUCGGCGGCGAGGUGGUGGACACGCGCGCCGAGGGGUCGCACACGGCCACGCAGAUGGGGAGCGGGCACUUCCCCGGGGAGGGCUUCGGCCGCUCCUCCUACUUCCGCAACCUGGAGGUGGUGGACUGGGACAACAGCCUCAUCCCGCUCACCACCUUCCACGUCACCGCCGACCACCCCAACUGCUACGACAUCCAGGGCGGCGUCAACGCCGUAUGGGGGAACUACUUCUACUACGGAGGGCCAGGGAGGAACGUCAGGUGCACCUAG
rnacentral:rRNA from 1 species